AUUGAACGCUGGCGGCAUGCCUUACACAUGCAAGUCGAACGGUAACAGGUCUUCGGAUGCUGACGAGUGGCGAACGGGUGAGUAAUACAUCGGAACGUGCCUAGUAGUGGGGGAUAACUACUCGAAAGAGUGGCUAAUACCGCAUGAGAUCUACGGAUGAAAGCAGGGGAUCGCAAGACCUUGUGCUACUAGAGCGGCCGAUGGCAGAUUAGGUAGUUGGUGGGAUAAAAGCUUACCAAGCCGACGAUCUGUAGCUGGUCUGAGAGGACGAUCAGCAACACUGGGACUGAGAAACGGCCCAGACUCCUACGGGAGGCAGCAGUGGGGAAUUUUGGACAAUGGGCGCAAGCCUGAUCCAGCAAUGCCGCGUGCAGGAUGAAGGCCUUCGGGUUGUAAACUGCUUUUGUACGGAACGAAAAGCCCCGGGUUAAUACCCUGGGGUCAUGACGGUACCGUAAGAAUAAGCACCGGCUAACUACGUGCCAGCAGCCGCUGUAA
rnacentral:rRNA from 1 species